CACAAAAACAUAUAAAGAUAAUAAAAAAUAAAUAAAGGCCCAAAUGUCCAUUACAUUGACCCAAUUUAAAAGCCCAAAAUUAUAUACUCAAAUCCCCACUAAACAGAGACCCAAUACAAGUCCUGGCCCGAAACUGGCCCAAAGCAUACGAAGAAACCCUAGGGUUUCUAAGGGGCAACAGCGCCGCAAGCCAAGCUCCCCGGAUCUUUGUGACCUUCACCUAUAAGGAAACAUCAGAAAAGGAAACAAAAUCACAUAUUUUGAAUCAAAUAAGAGAUUUGUUCCUUUAUUUUUUUUUAUGAUUAUGGCUAUAAAAAAUGCCAUUGUAACACUGUAAAGGGGAUUCAAAAAUCAAAUAAAAACUGAGGCUUUUACUUUCGCAAUAUAGAGAGCAUAGUCAAUUAAAGGUUGAUACUUGUAGUUCUAUUUUAUUUUUCCGUUAUAUCUAUUUAUUUUUAUCAUUUAUAUAAAUAAUAUAAAUACAAAAGGAAAGAAAUAACCUUGCUUUUUGGAAGCGCUAUACGACGGCCGAGAGAGCCACCCCGGAGGAUCGGUGACUAGAAACCGAAAGGUUUUGUGUGGUUUUGAACCUCUUUGCUAACAUUUUGAAGGAUUUAAGCCCAGAUUUGGGCAUAAGGGGGUCGAGAAGGCUAAAAGGGGGAUUUUCCCCUUUUUCGGCCACCGCUGACGGUGUUGCCGGCACCGGAGAUCAGCGGCCGACGCGGUGGCCGACGAAGGGCCGAUAACUGACCGAUGGCCGGAGGACAGACCAAGGGGAGAGAAUUUUUUAGGGGUUUCGGUUUUUUA
rnacentral:lncRNA from 1 species